rnacentral:lncRNA from 1 species
CUCCUCUUAUGAGAUGUAAUAUUUAAUAGAAGUAUGAAGUAUAUUUAUUUUUAUUUACUUUAAAUAAUAAUUUGUAUCACUUUCUUAUCAAGUGUUAUUAAAAUGCGUCAAUCAUCUCUUUAUUUUUUCAUAUUCAUACGUCAAGAUUUCUUGUAUCUUUUUUGAAUUUGAAAUGAUAUUUUGAUAAUUUAAAAUUAGAUAGAAUAUAUCAUUGGUUAGGUAUCAUAUUGAUUUUUAUAUUUAAUUAUUAAAUUCGGUUAACCUUGAAAGCAUACAUCAACGAAAAAUCAUUGUUAGACGAGUAAAAAGUAACUAUAACGUAUUACUGAAAAAGUUCUCCUAUAAAAAUAUUUUAAUAAAUCAUGUUUGUCUAUUUUUUUUUUAUUUUUUACUAAUUCAUACAUUCACUUAUCAAAACAUUAUUUAUACUUUAACAAAGUAAGAUUGAAAUAAUAUUCAUGUAACAAAAAAUUUGAAAACCCCGAUAAAAUCGAACCAAUUCAAACCAAUAUAGUUGGUUUGGUUUGAUUUUGAUAAAAAUCAAACUAACUCGGUCCAUGCACACUCUUAAUUGUAAUACAUAGUGCUAAGGGUGUACACGAGGCAGUUUGGUUCGGUUUUUUAUCAAGAAGUUUGAAGCUUCCAAAUUCCAAAUUCUCUCCAUGAAUGAAAGGGAAGGAUUCAAUCUCUCCAUGACCUUAAAAAGAAAGGAAAAACAAAAAAUGCAAUACACAUGUAAGGGGCGUGCGACAAUGAGGGUAAGGAAAGGAAAAACAAGAAAAUGCAACCAAACUCAAUCAUUUGAUUCAAUUGUGGGAUAAAUAAUGAUAAAUAAGGAUAUUCCACGGGCUGAAUUAUCCCAUGUGAAUAGCUAUAUCCCAUAUAGAAUUUGAAAUAGAUAAUACUACAAUUUUGAUAUAAAAUAUAUUCAGAAAUUAGCUAGUACCCAUAAUUAAACAUAGGAUACAUACAAUUUUAUAUUCUAUUUCUGGAUUAAUAUUCUUAUUCCGCUAACCAAACGAGUAUAACAGUUUUAUCUGGACAAUUUAUCCAAUAUUUUGUAUGUCAAGCACUCUUGUAAAUUGACUAGAUAGGAGUGGAAAUGACAUCAGGUAGUCACUUUUAAGCAUCAUGCUUAAAAUAUAUUCACAAUUUACAAUAUAUUUAAAGAUUAGACAAUUUUAUUUAAACUUCAGGACCCGACAUCCUAGAGUUUAAACCUCAAAAUUCAAACUUCAGGACAUCGUGCCCUAAAGUUCGAAAAUUUUAUCUUAACUUGUGGUCUUUACUUUAACAUUAAAUUAUAUUGUUUUAGUAUAUGCUUGUGAUUAUGGGAAAACAAUAAGCUUCCACAACAAACAGAGAAGAACCACCUGUUCUGUAUGGAUAAAUUUUAUUGUCCAGCUAACAUGAAGUUUUAAAUCUUGCCAAUGAUACCAUCUACCUUCGAAUUUAUGCCCUUAAAUUGUUGCAAAUGCCCCAAAAAGGUUAUCUUGCUACUAUCUCCCUCCACUGUCAUUUUUCUGUAGCGUACAAUAUAGGUUGAAUUAGCCCGAUAAACCGCCCGAUAAGAGGUAAACCGAUACCAAUCCGCUCGAUAUCUUAUUGGGUGGCUAGCGGAUUAAUACAUUUAAAAACCGAUAAACGUUAAGACAAACCGUUAAGAGUAAAUAACCGUCCAAUCUGCCCGAUAAGCAGCCCUAUCGAGAAGUUCGAAUCUUAUAUACUGAAUUUCAAAUUAGUAGUUCAGAAAUUCAGGACAUUUAGUCUUGAAUGUCAAAUUAGCAGCUCAAAAAUUCAGGACACUAAGUCUUGAAUUUUCAAAUUCAGGAUACUUAGUCCUGAAGUCCUAGGGUUUAAACCUCAAAAUACAAACUUCAAGCUAUCGUGUCCUAAAGUUCGAAACUUAUGUCCUGAAUUUUAAAUUAAUAGUUCAAAAAAUUCAGUACCCUUAAUACUGAAUUUGAAAUUAGCAGCUCAAAAAUUCAGGACACUUAGUUUAAUCCUGAAAUUUUUUGAAUUGGUUAAUCUUUAAAGACAUUAUAAAUUGUAGAUAUAUUUUAAAUAUCGGACUUAAAAGUGGCUAUUGUUGCACUUCUCCCUAGCUAGGAUCCAUUGUAAUUUUAGUUUCAAAUGGGGCUAGUAAACUAGAAGUACAGAACCAAGAAAGAUGGCCCAGGAUAUCUCUUUUAAUUACAUUACCAGCAAAUCGUCAAAAUACUCAGGAAUUUGCAAUUUUUCUUGUUUUUUUAUGCAAUAUCGUCACAUUCUUGUAAAGUAGGUAUUUGCCCUAUUACUGGCAUCUUUUAUUAUAUGCAUGGAGGACCUUAUGGUGAAUUCAUGAACUGAAACGGGUCGAAACAUACCAUUCUCAGAUGAAUUCAUCAGCCGGGUGAUUUGUUUGCCCAGAGAUGCACUCUCUGAAAAUUCGUUAACCAAGAAAUUUGUGAUGCCACAACCAGAGGGUACCUGGGAUAAAAGUUGACAAGAUUAGUUAACAGGUGGUUAAGAACCUAUAAACUUUAAAUUUUGGAUCCGUCUCAGACCAUCAUAAUAGGUGAAUCAUAAAGAAAAAUUAAGAAAUAAUGAAAGUUCCAUGGAUGCUUUAAUUCACUUUGUUCCACGGGUAAGUUAACAAUCAUAGAGUUGUGUAGCAAUGGCGACAAGUUGCUGUUGUUAGAUUCUUUCAACAUAGCGUUGGAUUUUAUUCUAGCUCUAUAGAGAGAGGCCAAAGUCCAAAAGGAAUAGUUUAAUUUAUGGAAAGGCGAAUAUAACAGCAAUAUUACUUCUAUUACCUUUGUAAUCUUCCAAUACCAUCGCCCACUCAUCCCAUUUAUAACUCACCAAUCAAAUCACGCAAAUAUUUGCAUUGCAAAUGAUUAUUCAUAUAUACUACGGGUUUGUAUCCAAAUAAAGUAAAUUUUUGUUAUGGCCAUAUUAUAUAGUGCAUGCCGGAAAAGUUCAUAUAUGCAACCUAACUAAAAUCUCACCAAACCGUAGCUUGCAAUUAUUAUUUAUAAAUUACACGUCACGUACCGUGCAUACAGAGUAUCCGCAGCUCAAACAAUUAAUUUCAUGCUAAACCAUGUAUUUUGAUCCUAGCUAAUCAUAAUCCUCCAUUAACUCGAUUGUUCCCACCGCCCAAGUUUGACUUAAUCUGUCUAUUUGCCACCUCUAAUUCUCCAUAUAAUGAUCCAAAUUCAACAGCU